GACUCAGUGGUUCAAUUCUUAUACGUUAGGCUUGAGACCAAGAGGUCCCAGAUUCGAUUCCUGGCUAGAACA